rnacentral:rRNA from 1 species
CAAUAGCGUAUAUUAAAGUUGUUGCAGUUAAAAAGCUCGUAGUUGGAUUUCUGGAUGGAGCGACCGGUCGGGCAUUAAUUUGUCUGCACUGGAGUCGGUUCCGUCCAUCCUCUUGGAAAGUGCGUCGGGCAUUAAGUUGUUUGGCGUAUGAUCCAAGUCGUUUACUGUGAAAAAAUUAGAGUGUUUAAAGCAGGCCUUCGCCUUGAAUACAUUAGCUUGGAAUAAUAAGAUAGGACUUUGGUCUAUUUUGUUGGUUUGCAGACCGAAGUAAUGAUUAAUAGGGAUAGUUGGGGGUAUUUAUAUUCCGAUGUCAGAGGUGAAAUUCUUAGAUUUUCGGAAGAUAAACUUAUGCGAAAGCAUUUACCAAGGAUGUUUUCAUUAA